rnacentral:rRNA from 1 species
UACGUAGGGUGCGAGCGUUAAUCGGAAUUACUGGGCGUAAAGCGUGCGCAGGCGGCUUUGCAAGACAGAUGUGAAAUCCCCGGGCUUAACCUGGGAACUGCAUUUGUGACUGCAUGGCUGGAGUGCGGCAGAGGGGAUGGAAUUCCGCGUGUAGCAGUGAAAUGCGUAGAUAUGCGGAGGAACACCGAUGGCGAAGGUAAUCCCCUGGGCCUGCACUGACGCUCAUGCACGAAAGCGUGGGGAGCGAAACAAGG